CCAGGCCUGACGUUCUUUUCGUCCCCUUAGCAACCUGACAUCAAGGGCAGAAGAUCCUUGACCUCAUAGUGGCAGAGUGCUGGAUCGGCAGUUGAGGCAAAUACUGUAUUCCAGAAGAUAUGGCACUUGAACCAAGAGAGAAAGAAUACUGUAUAUAACAUGAAGACCUCCGGGACCUCCUGCCGGGGACCUCCUGUAUACUAGACCCCCCUCCUUCCAUGAUGAGUGGAGUUGUCAAUACACAUUGGAUCCCUCCUGGCUCUUCCUCGGUAUCAUCAUUACUACACUAUUGAAUAUUUCAGUUCCAUACAAGGGCGGAUUGAUAAACUACAAAGUAGCAACUAUACAUAAAUGGAAGAAAAAGAAAAGAAGCCCUGGGGAGGGGCAGCCGAUGCUGUGCGAAUAGCGGAGGGCAACAUUAAGCCUUUUCGCCUUGUCCAGGGUAUUCCCAUAUGGGUUAAAGGAACAAAAUUAAUCUUACGCUUCUAUCCUGAGCAAGAAGACGUCUUAAAAAGUAACUUAAAGUAAGGAGUGAUUUUGAUGUAGGGCUGCCUUGGCUUAUCUGUGUAGAAAUCCUCCAUCCCAGUCGUUGCUGGAUACAGUCAGCGGCCGUAUAAAACUUACGACCAAUUAUAUUUUGCAAUGCGGUGACUUCUUGCCAAAGACGUGACCCGGCCUUCAUCUCCUCUCAGUAGGGAGGCUGCCGGUUUCUUGGCUAAAAAAGAGCAUUUCCAAACCAGAUGCGCGAUUUCUAGGAGAGCCAAGAACGCGGCUGCUUGAUUCCGGAGCUCGCCCUGACAGGUUCUAGCCUGGUACUAAAAGAUAAGGAUGUCAAAACACAACUCAUGGCGCCUUUCAAUUAAACAUUAGUGCGGCGCAGUAACAAAAAAUAAUGAAGGUUGUUGGUCGCCCUGCUCCCUACUCCUUGUAAUUUAGGCUCUG